UAGCUCAGUUGGUAGAGCAUGGUGUUUGCAACGCCAGGGUUGUGGGUUCGAUUCGCAC
rnacentral:tRNA from 1 species